GGUUAAGCGACUAAGCGUACACGGUGGAUGCCCUGGCAGUCAGAGGCGAUGAAGGGCGUGCUAAUCUGCGAUAAGCGCCGGUAAGGUGAUAUGAACCGUUAUAACCGGCGAUACCCGAAUGGGGAAACCCAGUGUGAUUCGUCACACUAUCAUUAACUGAAUCCAUAGGUUAAUGAGGCGAACCGGGGGAACUGAAACAUCUAAGUACCCCGAGGAAAAGAAAUCAACCGAGAUUCCCCCAGUAGCGGCGAGCGAACGGGGAGGAGCCCAGAGCCUGAAUCAGCAUGUGUGUUAGUGGAAGCGUCUGGAAAGGCGCGCGAUACAGGGUGACAGCCCCGUACACAAAAGCGCAUGUGCUGUGAGCUCGAUGAGUAGGGCGGGACACGUGGUAUCCUGUCUGAAUAUGGGGGGACCAUCCUCCAAGGCUAAAUACUCCUGACUGACCGAUAGUGAACCAGUACCGUGAGGGAAAGGCGAAAAGAACCCCGGCGAGGGGAGUGAAAAAGAACCUGAAACCGUGUACGUAC
rnacentral:rRNA from 1 species